rnacentral:lncRNA from 1 species
UAACUUACAACAUGCAUAAAACAAAUAAAGUCGCUACAAUAAUAUCACCCUUAUACAACUACUAACAUAACUGUCAAUUCAAAAGGAUUUUGACUUGUUAAUGAACCUCAUAAUUAAUAUCAACAUCAAGCACAAGUGCCCAAAAGUUACAAUCUCUGGAACUUACCUUUACAAAAAGUUUUAGAUUCAUCCAAGCUCAACGGUCAGCAAGAAAUGUCCUCAGCCAUUCAAGUCUUCGAUCAGGAUCAAUACUAAAAAACACAAACAUAAGAGUUG